UACAGAGGUCUCAAGCGUUGUUCGGAUUCAUUGGGCGUAAAGGGCGCGUAGGCUGCGGGGCAAGUCGGGUGUGAAAUCUCAGAGCUCAACUCUGAAACUGCAUUCGAUACUGCCGUGCUUGAGGACUGGAGAGGAGACUGGAAUUUACGGUGUAGCGGUGAAAUGCGCAGAUAUCAGGAGGAACACCGGUGGCGAAGGCGGGUCUCUGGGCCGAUACUGACGCUGAGGAGCGAAAGCGUGGGGAGCGAACAGG
rnacentral:rRNA from 1 species